GACGAACGCUGGCGGCGUGCCUAAUACAUGCAAGUCGAGCGGACAGAUGGGAGCUUGCUCCCUGAUGUUAGCGGCGGACGGGUGAGUAACACGUGGGUAACCUGCCUGUAAGACUGGGAUAACUCCGGGAAACCGGGGCUAAUACCGGAUGGUUGUUUGAACCGCAUGGUUCAGACAUAAAAGGUGGCUUCGGCUACCACUUACAGAUGGACCCGCGGCGCAUUAGCUAGUUGGUGAGGUAACGGCUCACCAAGGCGACGAUGCGUAGCCGACCUGAGAGGGUGAUCGGCCACACUGGGACUGAGACACGGCCCAGACUCCUACGGGAGGCAGCAGUAGGGAAUCUUCCGCAAUGGACGAAAGUCUGACGGAGCAACGCCGCGUGAG
rnacentral:rRNA from 1 species